GAACAGUAUCCGUAUUACGUCCUAAAUAAUCCAUGUUGGGUUAAAUGUUUUAUGAUCCUCAACUUCUCAGACCCCAGAUUUAUAGAAAGUAAUGUCUAUCCACGACUUACUCGUGUGACAUCAGUAACUCCAAAGAGGUCUCCACUGAGUGGGGGAUCUUAUGUCAACUCUUUUAGGACUACUCCUUCAAAGUAAACAUGACUAUACCACCCUCCUAUCUUAGAUUUAACUCAAGUUCGGGUU
rnacentral:lncRNA from 1 species